rnacentral:snoRNA from 1 species
CUUCUCAUUUAUUUGCUGUAUUUUCUUGGUGAUAGGAAGUUGUAUGCAUGGGAUGGAAUCAUGUAGGGCCACUGUAAACUGAGUUGAAGUAAUUGGUUUAUCUCUGCUGCAAGGUGUGGAUGUUG